AAGGACGAGGAGAGCGAGACGGAACGGCGCACAGGCACAAUCAGCGAGGAAGAGGAAGGAGUCUUUAUCAGGAAAGAGGAGAAAUGGCUUUUAAUCUCCAUCUUGUGAGGCUGACAGUUUAUUAGAUCUGUGUGUGUGUGUGUGUGUGUGUGUGUGUGUGUGUGUGUGUGUGUGUGUGUGUGUGUGUGUGUGUGUGUGUGUGUGUGUGUGUGUGUGUGCAUGUGCGCGCGUGUGUGUGUGUGUGUACGCUGUGACAACAACUGCAGCUCAGUGCCCCGUGCUUCACCUUCAGUCCCUCGCGUCUCCCAUUCCACACAAAUGUGUUCCCACUUUGCUCGCCCUCUUGACUCCCUUCCUCUAACUCGGUUUUUAUUUAUCAUUAUUUUGAUUUUUUGCAGCGCACGUGGAAAUGUGUCAAAGUUGCUGGCAACAAGGUCAAACGUUCCUUCACCCCACAUUGCACAGACAGUGAUGACUCUGUACAUCUCAUGCUGUAUGGCAACAUCUGCACAUCUGCACAUGCAUCAAAAUGCUCACAACAAAGAAAGGCCAGGUGUGGCCAUUACUCUCCCAUCAGGUUUAGCAUCACCUGCCAUUUCAUUUUAAACACACCUCGCAGGCUCGUGUGUUCCAUUCCUCCGGCAAAGUUCAGGUGAUUUGUGGGAUUUCAUGCUGUCGGCGCUCCGCCACCGAGCGCCACACACGACUUCUGGCUCACGGGCGGCGAGUGGCGAACGCGCCGUGAAUGAUGAUCAGCGGGCGCCGCUGUUGCUGUUAAAUAUUGAAUAAUUAACUUUGUUAACCUUUCCACAGACUCGCCGCAGGUGUGGCACGGAUGUCACUCCAGUGAACCGGCCGAGACGUGGCUGAGAAUUUUAACAAGGUGAUUCAUGAUGCUCUUGAUGACAGAAACAGAGCUGAACUCAUUCAUGCACAGAGGGGUUUUAUGGGUGAUUAAUAAAUAUUACUU
rnacentral:lncRNA from 1 species